CCUUAAAUGCAAACUGUCAUUGAAAUAUUUAGGAAAAGACCUGACUUUUAAUCAGAGGGUCUCGGGUUCGAACCCCGACGCGCUCACCA
rnacentral:tRNA from 1 species